GUCAAUAGUCCAACUGUCAGUCUGACCAAGACAAAGACUGACUGACCUCCUGCUCUCUAGAAAUCCAGAGGAAAAAGAAGUCCCUUCUCUUAACUGUCUCUCUCUUACAUACUUCACUCAUUUCCUAGGUGAUGGAAUCUUCAGCUCUCUACUGCUCUUACUGAGAAAUGUUUCUGUUCCUGCCUCUUAAAGAGACAGAGGAAGAGAUUAAGAAACUCCCUUUAACAAGCCCCUCUUCCUACAUGAAGCCUUUCUUAACUUCUCUCAGUUAUCAGUACUUGUUCCCUCCUUAGAUUUGUUUUUCUAUUAACAUGGUAUGACCCUCUUCCUUCCUUCCACUAGGAUGAUAGCUACUUAAGAAGAAGGGAUUACUAAGGAGUCGCUGCACAGUGUAAAGAAGCACGAGGUCAAGGAGACCAACAAUCCCUGCGAGGAUCUUCACCAAGAGAGAGGUCUUGUUUUGAGGUUUGAGGAAGUGACUGUUUGGCAAAUCUAAAAGCUGGACUUCCCCAUGCCAGUUUUCUAUAAGCACCUUGGUUUGACUUUCAUUUUUGGUCCCCUCUCCCUGAGAUUGAAGGCAAAAUCAGAACAGGAAAUAAUACUUCCCUUUUACCUCAGACUCUUGUCCCCUUCUCUUUUAUAGUAUGGCAAUUUUUUGUAGUCCUGGCUACUGAUGCGUAAAUGCAAUAUUGCUACAAUUGUCCUGUUUGCUUGUAGGACAUAAGUCACUUUAAUUGGGCUUUGCUGGUGAUUCAAGGACCUGUUAUGGUUUUAUUUUUAAUCAUAAUUUAAUACACACAGGAUUUUGGUAUAUAUAUGUAUUUUUGUCAAGAAUUUAAUUUUUUUCUGUUCUAUUUGGUUUUUGGUUCUUUUGAGAAUUCAUUCAUAUACCUCAUAGCUAAGCCUUGUAUAUUGUGAUGAUUCUAGUGUUUGUCAACACCCUUCUAAGGGGGGAUGGUAUAAUUAUCCUAAAAUCCAAGGGUUAAGAUCUUUUAUAGCAAUUCUAGGAAGAGAAAAUUGCCAAUAUCCUAAAUCAAGAAAGUGGAUCUUCUGAAGAACAUACCAUAAGGAUGCCUAUAGGAAUCACACACUACACCAAAAUGAUCCAGAAUGAACUUUGGGUUAUAAUGAACUGAACUGAAGGGAGUUGAACCUAUCAUUUAUUCUGAAUGUAAACUCUUAUGCCAAAGGGGAGUGCCCCCCAAUUGACUUUUUUUUAUUCCUUUGGCUUCCUCUUCUUCCUCAUUUUCAUCUCCCUUUGUAGAUAAUUCCUCCAAUUCCUCCUCCUUGUAAUUUUUCUUUUUUUUCUUUUCAUGAGGAGUUUGUUUCCUCCUGAUCUCAGGAUUGAUAACAUCAAAGAACUCCUCAAUCAGAGCCAGCAGCUUUUCUUGGUUAAGCUUAACUUCUUCCUCUUCUUCCUUGCCCUCAAGUUUUUUGUUGGUUUUUUUUUUCUUUUAGGUGCAUCUCUCUGUGCUUGGUUUCCAGGAUCUUCUCUCAAUUGAGUUUCCCAUUCAAAGAACUAGGAUGCUCAAAAACAGGAGUAAUUGAAGUGAGGGAAGGAGAGGGAGGUGUGUGGCUUUAUGAUCAGGACUCAUCAUCUAUAUUGGAAUGUCAAGACACAAAUCCAAGAAAAGAAUGGAAAGAUUUCAGAGAAAGGAAGGAAGAGGACAAGUAUAUUUGAUCUUUAUUCAAACCUGACCAUCUUAAGGUGACUAAGAUGGCUCAACUUAGAUUUCAUUAUGAAGUUUAAGGAGAUAUUUUAAUGAAAAAAGACAAACCAAGGAUAUUCUAUUCACGUAGGGAUGGCUAUAUGAGAGACUGAUAAAAUACAAAAGUAUGUGAAUUUGAGACAAGAAGAGAUGAACGGUGUACUCUCGAAGAAAAAGCCAAAGGAGAAGUGAAUAAUCUUGAAGGGAAAGAUGAGAAGUUUAAAUCGGAUUCUAAAAUGAUAAUGCAAUAAGGAAAAUAAAGAAUAGAAAUAUAUUUGUAAAUGAUAGGUAAGAAUAUAAUACUUCUCAGACACUGAAGCUUUUGGUUAUAAGCAGAGCCCUGGUCUUUCUUUGACAGAGCUCUUAUAAGUUCCACAGCAUUCUUUAGGUCAGAAUCUUUUCAAACCUACAGCUCAUUAACCUAAAUUACUCUGAAUGAGCAUAUAUUUUAUCUAUUUACCAGGACAACUAGAGGACACAAAAUGAAUAGCAAAAUAAAUAAAAAGGAAAAUUUCCCUUUGUCAUUCUCAUAGAUUUCCAUGCUAACAGUGGGAAAGAAGAGAGAAAGCAUAAAUAUCGGGGAAAACUCAUUUUUCGAAAGUUCCAGCCCACCCAGAAGAGGUUUUCCCUUCUAAAGCUGGUACUUCUUGCUUUUUUGAAGAGCUGCUACUUCCAUCUGUUGCUUCUGCUGAGCUGCUACUAUCAUCAGCUUUCUCUAUGCCAAGUUGCAGUUGCUAGGUAUCUCCUUACAAACAUGAAUGCAUCGCAGCUCUUUUGUGAGUUAUCCCAUAGUUUUCAAGGUUCUUCCUUUUUUAUAAAGCCAGAACCAUAAUAUGUUCAGUCAUCACAAGAGUUAUUCGGGUUGAAUAUUUCUUUUAAAUUGACUCUCUCCUUCCCUUAGAAAAAUCUUUUCUAGUACCCAAAAAAUUGGGUUGGAGAGAGUAAAUGUCUUCUAGUUUGCAUCAUGCCCUUGGAAACUAGCACCAGAGUCAUGAAGACUUAUGUAGGAAAAAUUUAACUGUACCUGAAGAGUUGGUGACCUUUGUCUUGCAACCUGGCAAUCAAUUAAUAUAUUACUUUGUUUUGGAGAACAGUUGAUACUUCACUUGAUAAUCAUAAGAAUUAUUAUAAGAGUUAGACUCCAGUUCAAAUGAGAUUUUUAGAACUUUUCUUUUAGUGGGUUUUUAAAAAUAUCUUUCAAAUCAUUGGUUUAAUAAAGCAAUCUUAAGUUUUGCCU